GCCAGCAUGGCAUAGUGGUUUGGGGAUUAGACUAGGGCUCUUGAGACAAGGGUUCAUUUCCCUGUUCAGCCA